rnacentral:lncRNA from 1 species
GGCAGACUAGAUGAGAAAUGAUUACUUCAGUAUCUUCAAAUAGAAGAAUAUUUCUGCAGUCGUAGCAUGGACAAUAUAUAUGCUUCGUCUUUGUUCUCAAAGCAUGGUUCUUAGCGGCAUCAACAAACCUAUGCACCUCAGGUAUAUAUGAUGGAUCUAGUCUUGAUAAGUUAUACAUCCAUAAGGACCUCUCCAUCAUGACCUGUUGAAAAGUUAGUAAAUUAAUUGAAAUAUUAUCUAGGAAUAUUUGUUAUUAAAAAUAAAAGAAGACCUAACAAUUAAAUCAAAUUGAAAAAUGAAUCAUGAAAAUGGUGAGAGGAGAGGCAACAUCUUAAACAAGAGGGCACAAAAAUGCUUAUCGCGUAAUUAAAUCAAAUUUACAUAAAAAAUAACAUCCUAAACAAUAUAAUUUAAAAAACUAAAAAGAAAACUUACCUUUCUUAGCCACCUCCACCUCCUUCCAAGAAAUGAAGAUCAAAACCUCCACUCUUGUAUUUUGACCGGUUGAAAAGUUAGUAAAUUAAUUGAAAUAUUGUCUACGAAUAUUUGUUAUCAAAAAUAAAAGAACACCUAACAAUUAAAUCAAAUUGAAAAAGUAAAAUAAGUAUCAAAAAUAAAGACAAAACCAUAAAUAUAUAUCUUUAUAUCACUAAAUUAAAUUUGACAAGGUACAAAAACACUAAUGAUUGAAACUAAAUAUAUUAUAUCACUAAAAACUUUGAGAAGGAAACAUGGAAAUGGUGAGAGGAGAGGCAACAUCUGAAGCAACCUCAUAUAUAAAAAAUGCUUAUCGCAUAAUUAAAUCAAAUUUACAUAAAAAAUAACAUCCUAAACCAUAUAAUUUAAAAAACUAAAAAGAAAACUUAUCUUUCUCUCCCUUCCCAAGCAUGGAAACACCAUUCAUGGAAACUACUACAUAUAUAUUUCUUGGAUUCACAAAUUAGAGAAGGAAACAUAAAAAAAAGAUAGGAGAGACAUCAUAUAUUCAUCUUAAGCAACUUUAUUUGAGCAAAAUAAACCAUACCUAGCUAUUCUACUCUCUCCCUCUCAUGGUGAAACCCUAGAUCCAAAAAGUAGCUCAAAUUGAGCAAGAGGGCACAAAAAGAGGCAUUAGAGGCAUCAACUAACCUUUCUUAGCCACCUCCUUCCAAGAAAUGAAGAUCAAAACCUCCCCCUUGUAUUUUGAAAAAUCUGGACCUCCAAGAUGGGCUGCAAUGGGAGGUGGCUGCGAGCUACAGUUCUUUCCGAGGAGGAAGAAGGGGCUGGUGG